AGCAACUCUUGAAAUCCAAUCAUUAUGAGCUUUGCCAUCCUUAUCAACUUGUGCGUAAUUUUUUUAUUGCAAAAAUGUCACCCUUAUUGUGAUAGACCUCCUGCAAAGUAAUCCCAAUUUAUUACAUAAAUGGUUAUAAUCUUGUAAACCUUUUCAAAUAAAAAGAAUUGCCAUCGAAUGUUUGUUUAUUGACUGUCGCUCCUAAUAUAUACAUUUUAUUAAUACAAAAGUUUUUUAUAAUAAGUAAGAAUGGGGUUUCGGAAAAGCAAAUUAGUGUGUUAGCGGGCUCAAGCCUACCGCCGACUUGGGUAAAAUUCUAUACAAAAUUUUUUGUUUAUGUAUGUCCACAGCCUCUGGUUGUUUUAAAAAUAGAGCUUAUGCAGUAGGGAGUAAAAUUAAAUACCUUUUAAUUUUAAGUAUGUUCAUAUUUUAAAUUAUUUUAAAAUCUUAUAGAAAACCUUGAAAUAUGCAACUGACAUUUAACAGAUGUGACAUUUUUAGAACUCCCACUAUAAAUAGCUAAUUUGUGUCGCAUAAUCAUAUUUAAAAAUGUUUCCGGCACUAAUUUGUUCAAUCUAUAAAAAGCGGGGACUUAAACAGAAGAAUCCAAUCUAAGAGCAACUCCUGAAAUCCAAUCAUUAUGGUCUUGGCAACCCUUAUUAAGCUGUGCGUGAUUGUUUUUCUUGCAGAAUGUCCACCAGGUCAACCACAUUGUAACAGGCCUCCUUCAUUAUAGUCCUAGUUUUUUUCCUAAAUUGGAUAUAGUUAAUAGUUUACCCAUCUGAUAAGCUAUUGUAAACUUUUCAAAUAAAAAGUAUUUUUUACGAA